rnacentral:rRNA from 1 species
GAUGACUCCCGGCAACGGAUAUCUCGGCUCUCGCAUCGAUGAAGAACGUAGCGAAAUGCGAUACCUGGUGUGAAUUGCAGAAUCCCGUGAACCAUCGAGUCUUUGAACGCAAGUUGCGCCCGAGGGACCAUCCCGAGGGCACGCCUGCCUCAUGGGCGUUAGAA